AGAGUAGACGCCGCAUUGGCAGCUCAGCGCGAGAAAUUCAACCGCCAUCUUGGACCGGUCAUACUCGUUGCUUAGCAGCAGAAGACACAAGAUGCCAGAGCACUGUGCAGCAUAUUCCUGUUCAAAUCGGCGGACCAUUGAAAACAGGGCUCGGGGGAUUACUUUUCACAAUAAGGUGCUGAGAGCUGCAGAGAAGGUGAUCCGCCGAGCUUCGACAAUGUGUCAACAGUCACACACAUCGUACGGGAGGAGGUUGGAACGGAGGACGUUUUUCUGCUUGAGGAACACAUUGAGGAGACACAGUUUGGCAUCGACAACCAUCAUUCUGACUUGUUGUCAUUGGUUGUGUCUGUGUUUUUCAAAAUAAGGCUGCACCACAUUGCAAAACUCACCUCUCUUGAACUGCAGAAAGGGAGCACGAGAAAGAAGCUCUGCAAAACAGUCCUCUUUCAGGGGUUUUAGCGAGCGGUGUACGGUUUACUGUAAAUCUGUUUGUUUGUUUGUGUUUCAUCAACUCUUUGUGCUUGUGAUUGCAUUUUAUCUCAUCGCUUUCACUCUGGGGAGAUUCAACCAAGUAAAUGUGCAGUUUAAAUAAAAACUGCCACUUUUCAUUUCAUCCUGCUACUUUAAACAAGUACUGGUACGCACACACAGACACACACACAGACACACA